AGCUUUGCGCAGUGGCAGUAUCAUGGCCGAUGAGGUUUAUCCGAGGCGUGAUUGUUGCUGAUUGAGAACUUUUCCUAAUACCCCUCCAUGACGACUUGCAAUAUAGUCAGGAUUGGCAAUUUUUGAUUGUCUCUAUGAGG